rnacentral:rRNA from 1 species
GACGAACGCUGGCGGCGUGCUUAACACAUGCAAGUCGAGCGGUAAGGCCCUUUCGGGGGUACACGAGCGGCGAACGGGUGAGUAACACGUGGGUGACCUGCCCUCAGCUCUGGGAUAAGCCUGGGAAACUGGGUCUAAUACCGGAUAUGACUCCAUGACGCAUGUUGUGGGGUGGAAAGCCUUGUGCGGCUGAGGAUGGGCCCGCGGCCUAUCAGCUUGUUGGUGGGGUGAUGGCCUACCAAGGCGACGACGGGUAGCCGGCCUGAGAGGGCGACCGGCCACACUGGGACUGAGACACGGCCCAGACUCCUACGGGAGGCAGCAGUGGGGAAUCUUGCGCAAUGGGCGAAAAGCCUGACGCAGCGACGCCGCGUGAGGGAUGACGGCCU